GUGGAGGAGUUUUCAUCACAGACCCAGAUUAACUCCGGCGAAGUUGUUCCGCGCCUGCCAGUGCCGGAGGAACAAUCUCCGGGUGGGAGAAGGGCCGAGCGCGCCGCCCUCCCCUCCCGGCGCCGCUCGGCCGAACAAAGGCGGCAGCGCCGGCUCCCCUUUGUGCGGCACGGGCCGGGCAAGGGCCGAGCCCAGCGCCCGCCCCGGGCUCCCGGCACGGCCCGGCUCGGCUCGGUCGCGCGUCGGGAGGAAGCGCCGGCUGCGCGGCGGGCGGGCGGCUGCCGGCGGCCCCGGCCCUGCCCGCCCCCGUCUCCUCCCCUCCGCCGCCGAUCCUCCGCCCCUCCGCCUUCUCCUCGCGGCGGCGGCGGCGGUGCCUUUUCUCGGCCCCGGCUCUCCGCGGCUUCGCCCGGCUCCUGUCCGGGGCUCCCGCGCCGCGCUGCCCAGGACGGCAUUGCUGCAGGGAGACUCUGGGAGUUCCGGGGUGAAGAGAUCUGCCUUGAUCUGGAGACCUCUGCUGAAGGUGAAGACCUCCUAACGGGCCAGACAGCCUUAGCAGGAGUUCAGAAGUCUUACACCAAGAGUGAAGAUUAAUUGAAGUGUACUACCAAGGAAGACUAAACAAGCGUCUGUAUCUUUUUUCAUUAUUAUUUACCUGAUGUAAAAGCUCCCAGCAUCUUUCGAAUACACAAUGUUCUCUUGGAUCAUAACAUUCCUUUGUUUUGUGGACUUAUUUAUAGAAUAAGCAUAAGUAAGCAUGUACGACUUGGUUGUGUUAGUUCCCCUUGCAUCUGAGUAGUCUUUGCUCGUGGUAAGUAUUUCUCAAACGACUUAAGUUGUUUUGUAUAAUGGCAAAAAUUUCCUUGGCAUUUGCACCGUAGCCUCGUGAAAGCUUAGUUAGGACUUUAUGUGCCAAUGCACACAGAAGCCCUCUGAUCAUCUGGGUGUCCGCCCACGGGUAAAUGUAAAGGACAGAGGGGGUCCUGUUGACUUCUGUAGGGCUGCUGUGCACUGAAAGCAUGUGUGUGGUGCCUCUCUGAUCUGAGGUCCACGUUGUAGCCCGUGCAGUAAUGCACAAAAGCUGAGAUCUGCUCUGCAUGGUGCUGGCAAUGUGUACAUUGAAAACAAGAAUUCCUGCUGGCUGAACAAACGUCUUCGUUUUAUUGUCUCCUUAAAGCAGACCUAGCAAACUGCAAGUGGUGAGCUUCUCAAAGGGCACACCUAAACAGAUCCUGCUUUUCAGAGAUGGAGACAAACCCCCUCAUAGGUGAAUCACCCAGCAAAACAACAACACCACCGCAAAACCCCAGCCAGGGAUUUGAUGGUGACGCACCCAGACAAGCAGCAGUCGCAGACGGUGAUGCUGCGGGCUGCAAGGUGUGCUCGGCCGGGCCGUGGUUCCGCGGGUGCCUCGGCAGCCCUGCGCUCCCCGGGCAGCCCUGCGCUCCCUCGGCAGCGCUGUGCUCGGCGAAGGGCUAUAAUUAGAUUAGCAGCCUGCUCAGCAGCGGUGCCAGCCUGCGAGCCUCAGCGAGCAUGUGCUGGAUUCUGCAUGUGCCUCCCGCUUAUUGGCGGCCGGGGUUGCUGCCUGCCGGUUUGAUAGGUUUCCCCAGUAAUCUUUAUGCUGCAUUACAGACAUAGAUACAGAGAGGUACUGCGUGCAUGCAACGGGAGAGGUGCUCAGCUUGUAGCGUAAAAGAAAGCCCACAGAUGAAAGGCACUGGUCUUUGUUGCAAAGCGUCAGUACUUAAGGACUGCUAGCCUGGGAGUGGAGAGGUCAGUGAAGGAGUUUUACUUGGUGGUAAUUACUUUCAGGUCUUUAUCUCUCCGGUAAAACAGUCAUGCAUGAAAUGAAUACUGUUAAUCAUGUCAUCUGUUUAAUUUGAUCUUGCUUUCGUUAAUGUCAUGUAUACUCCGGUGGGAGAACCGUCAGAUUGCAAAACAUAUCAUUGGAGUGGGUUCAGUUCAAAAAUAGAGCAUAUUUCUAUGAGAAUAUUGCUUUCAUCUGAAAUUUUGAGCCUGUGCAUGACAGUGAUUUUACUGGUUGCCUUUUGUUAUGCUAAUAGAAAUAUUUCUUUUAGUGGAAUGUUUUCUGCCGAGGAAUUGAAUUAGAGCAUUUAUAACUAUUAGCAUAUGAAGAUAAAUCUGUAAAUAUUUAUCAGUUUAAAGAAUAAU
rnacentral:lncRNA from 14 species